rnacentral:rRNA from 1 species
GUCUAUGGCCAUACCACCCUGAAUGAGCCCAAUCUUGUCUGAUCUUGGAAGCUAAGCAGGGUCGGGCCUGGUUAGUACAUGGAUGGGAGACUGCCUGGGAAUAGCCGGUGCUGCUGUAGAUU